rnacentral:rRNA from 1 species
AUAUGGAGAAGUACGAUCGGCACACACGUACGUAUGGAAUGUGGUUAACGCGUAASAUUUUCGUGCAUUCUGUUGCAACGUGCAUUCGGUGAGCUAUGGUGGUAAUCGAUAUUGUUUGAAAUUAUCACCACGUACCUUACCAAGCCUAUAUACAAAGAGACACAGGAAAUCGCUGUCGUUUGCUUGUCGUGAAGAGGCGAAAAUGGCCAUCGGUGUUUGUGUUACUUUACGAUACGGUCUCCAGCAAGCGUUGUUUUUUGCUGCUUGAUGGCAAAAUCUAGGUUGGAGAUAACGUGAUCGGCCGCUUGAAGAAGGAACGAGCACCAAAUGGUUGACAUGAAUUUUUUU